GCCGGGCGCGGUGGCUCACGCCUGUAAUCCGAACAUUUGGGGAGGCUGAGGCGGGCGGGUCACCUGAGGUCAGGAGUUCGAGACCAGCCUGACCAACAUGGUGAAACUCCGUCUCUA
rnacentral:sRNA from 1 species